ensembl:lncRNA
GUUGUUUGGCGCACAGGUUUACUUGCCCCACAGCACAUGGAAUCUUCCUGUACCAGGAAUUGCACCUGUGUCCCCUGCAUUGGCAGGUGGAUUUUUCAACCACUGGACCAGGGAAGUCCUGAGACUUCUUCGACUGUACUCUUGACUGCCACCCUGCACUGCCUUCCAGAGCAGAGCAGGAGACUCCAUACAGCAGGCUGGGCAAUCUGCAGAGGAUGGAGGUCCUGAGGACUUCCCAGACUCCAUGAACCCUGCAAGGUCUUAAUUUGUCCAUCUUCACAGUGAGCAUCAUCCAGACUAGUCACGUGUUCUGCCAAGUGCUUCAGGUAUAAAGCUUUCCAAGUGAGUGACUCUCAGGUGGUUUGUGAUAUUGCCGAGGUCUAACCCAUAGGAGCCUGUGGACAGCUGAGAAGGAGUCCCCACUGCUAGUUGCUCCCGGUCUUUCCUGCACCAAGGUCCCCUCUUGGAUCAACUCACUCCUGAAGCCCCAGGCAGAACGGCUCCCUCCUCAGCACUCACAGGGGAGAUUCAUCUCAGGCUACUUGAAGCAGAGGCCACAUGGAUCCAAGGCUCUCUGUAACCCAGCUCCUCCAGGCCCCAGGGGGCUGCCGAGCUUCGUUCAUAUUCAUCAUUGCUGGGAGCUGCACCUUUCCUCCAGGCUGUGUGGGGAUGUGCAUCACCAUGGAAACGCUAGAGGUGAAAUCACUCAAGUGUUGGCAAGCGGAGUUUCUCUUUGGAGCUUGAAAAAAUGGAGAUCAGGCUCACCGUGUCACAGAAAGGAAAGAUGCCCUCAAAACAACCUGCACACUCUCGAUUUCCAUUUGAGGACUUCCUCUUUAAAUAAAAGCUGAACAGUAAAUGAAAGAUAAAUGUUUUCAGUCUCUAGCUUGGCGGCCCCAGAGAGUCCACUUGGAAUGGACAGGCCAAUUCUUUCUGGCUUUGCUAACCUGCUACAUCUUGUAGAGUGGAUAACACAUUCUGUCUGAAAAGAAAUGGGGUGACAUCUCAGAACUGAUAUUUCAAAUAGAUGAAGUUGGAGCCCAGAAUAGACCCUUGUGCUUCUUGGCCACUUCUGGUCCUUUGCCUGCUUUUUGUGCCCAGGAUACAUUUUCUAAAUGAGGAUCUGAUAGGCUCCUGGUGGCUAAGCUUCUUAAGGAUGUAUUUGCUCACCUGGGCAGGCUCCAAGAUCCCUGUGGUCAUAACUACUCACAGGUCGCCCUGCCCUCAGAUUUUUGAGAGCUGUAUGCCAGCUCCCAAGCGCUAAUUUGGGCAGUGAGAGACCACAUUUGGGCUGCCUGGACUGGGGUGGGGAGGAGAACCAGGGAAAUCAGGGAAUGGAGAGAGUGUGGGAGGUGCUGGAGUGGAGCUGGGCACUAGGUGAGCUCACAGGAGACUUUGGCUAGCAGGGGAUCUGGGCACAUCCGUGGCUUGGAGGAGGCCAUCAGUGUGGGCUACUUGAACUCUAGUUCAUCCUCAGUGGACAACAAUCUUUCUUGUAUUCUUUUUCUCCACUGGGCAGAAAGAGCACUGACAAUACUUCCUCUCCUUCCAUCAGGGGUGGGUCUGGACAUAUUGUGUCCAAUAUGGACACAUAUUUUUUAAGGUUUUAAAGCUUGGCUUUGCUUGUUCAUUCAUCAACAGGAGUGUGUCAGGUAGGGCCUAAGGAAACACCCUUCUCGCAAAUAGUUAUGGACCAGGAUGGCAGACUGAAUAUAUGGUUAUAGAUAAAGACACAAAUAAAGUAAGUGCUUUCAGCA